AGCGAACGCUGGCGGCAGGCCUAACACAUGCAAGUCGAACGCCCAGCAAUGGGAGUGGCAGACGGGUGAGGAACACGUGGGAACGUGCCUUUUGGUUCGGAAUAACUCAGGGAAACUUGUGCUAAUACCGGAUAAGCCCUUCGGGGGAAAGAUUUAUCGCCAAAAGAUCGGCCCGCGUCUGAUUAGCUAGUUGGUGAGGUAAAGGCUCACCAAGGCGACGAUCAGUAGCUGGUCUGAGAGGAUGAUCAGCCACACUGGGACUGAGACACGGCCCAGACUCCUACGGGAGGCAGCAGUGGGGAAUAUUGGACAAUGGGGGCAACCCUGAUCCAGCCAUGCCGCGUGAGUGAUGAAGGUCUUCGGAUUGUAAAGCUCUUUUGGCGGGGACGAUAAUGACGGUACCCGCAGAAUAAGCCCCGGCUAACUCCGUG
rnacentral:rRNA from 1 species